CCCGGGGACAGAAAUUCACUUCAAAGGU
rnacentral:rRNA from 1 species